GACAGAGGGUGCAAACGUUGUUCGGAAUUACUGGGCGUAAAGCGCGUGUAGGCGGCCAUCUAAGUCGGGCGUGAAAUCCCACGGCUCAACCGUGGAAGUGCACUCGAAACUGGAUGGCUAGAGUCCUGGAGAGGAAGGUGGAAUGCUUGGUGUAGAGGUGAAAUUCGUAGAUAUUCGGAAGAACACCAGUGGCGAAGGCGACUCACUGGACACGUAUUGACGCUGAGGUGCGAAAGCG
rnacentral:rRNA from 1 species